rnacentral:rRNA from 1 species
UACGUAGGGGCCGAGCGUUGUCCGGAGUUAUUGGGCGUAAAGCGCGCGCAGGCGGCCUCGCGCGCCCGACGUGAAAGCCCCCGGCUUAACCGGGGAGGGUCGUUGGGGACGGCGGGGCUUGAGGGCGGGAGAGGUCGGUGGAAUUCCCGGUGUAGUGGUGAAAUGCGUAGAGAUCGGGAGGAACACCAGAGGCGAAGGCGGCCGGCUGGGCUGUACCUGACGCUGAGGCGCGAAAGCGUGGGGAGCGAACCGG